UACGGGGGGCGCAAGCGUUGUUCGGAUUUACUGGGUGUAAAGCGCGUGUAGGCGGGAGGCCAAGUCUGCGGUGAAAUCGCUCGGCUCAACUGGGCGGGGUCCGUGGAAACUGGUCACCUGGAGGACGGUAGAGGCGAGUGGAAUUCCCGGUGUAGUGGUGAAAUGCGUAGAGAUCGGGAGGAACACCAGUGGCGAAGGCGAAUCCCUGGACAACUCCUGACGCUGAGGCACGAAAGCUAGGGGAGCAAACAGG
rnacentral:rRNA from 1 species